UGACAGUACUCCUACGGGGAGGCAGCAGUGGGGAAUAUUGCACAAUGGGCGCAAGCCUGAUGCAGCCAUGCCGCGUGUGUGAAGAAGGCCUUCGGGUUGUAAAGCACUUUCAGUCGUGAGGAAGGUAGUGUAGUUAAUAGCUGCAUUAUUUGACGUUAGCGACAGAAGAAGCACCGGCUAACUCCGUGCCAGCAGCCGCGGUAAUACGGAGGGUGCGAGCGUUAAUCGGAAUUACUGGGCGUAAAGCGCAUGCAGGUGGUUUGUUAAGUCAGAUGUGAAAGCCCGGGGCGUCAACCUCGGAAUAGCAUUUGAAACUGGCAGACUAGAGUACUGUAGAGGGGGGUAGGAAUUUCAGGUGUAGCGGUGAAAUGCGUAGAGAUCUGAAGGAAUACCGGUGGCGAAGGCGGCCCCCUGGACAGAUACUGACACUCAGAUGCGAAAGCGUGGGGAGCAAACAGGAUUAGAUACCCUGGUAG
rnacentral:rRNA from 1 species